rnacentral:misc_RNA from 1 species
AUUCCAUGUGUAACUAAAGCAUCAUACAGUUAAAAUAGACAGAGUAUCACCAUACAUCAAAAACAGUACACAUCCUUCUUGCAGUAUUUUAUUUAUUGUUUCUUAAAAUGAUUUGAAGUUAUAUCAUCUUCCAAGUCCAAACUGUGACAUGUCAGCUGAAUCAAAAUGUAUUCCUGCAAUAAGGUAAUCCCCAUGACACCCAAAAGAAGAAGGUUGUAAAUCAAAUCUAUGACAUUCUUUUGUGUGCAGAUGUACAUUCCAAUGACACAGCUUCAGGUGCAGUGCCUUUGAAGUAUCGUUUAAUUCAAACCUCUGAAAAGACUAAAACGGAGAAAUGAAAAGCAAAGAACUUUUUUGUUGCAAUUUCAAAUGAUAAGCCAAAUGGACAUGAUAUG